rnacentral:sRNA from 1 species
UUGUAGCGUGGUUCUUCAUAGGGGCAU